AGGCAACACGAGGGUUAAACUGAUUUCCAGCCUGCACAGAGACUAAAAGUGGAUUCUCUGAAAGAAUACAGAUUUUCUUGAUUUUCCACCAUAUUAUGUGAGGACACAGGAUUUACAAGUUUCGUGAUAUUUUCAUGAAUACCUGAUGCUUUGAUCACUUUUCUGCCUCAAAGCUGUAUGUUCAUUUUUUUUCAUGCUCCCUCCCGUUGCCCUCGGGUCAAUCUGACCCUCGUAACUGUAGAUACACGUACAUAUGUGAAUUACAAGCCUCUACCCCUGUCCUCUGGGUCAAAAAGACCCAGCUCUGGGUCAGAGUGACCCAGGUCUGGGUCAGAGUGACCCCGGCGUGUAUCCGUACUCUGGGUCAGAAAGACCCGAGUUGAAUCCCACGUGCCCCUCCCGUUGUCCUCGGGUCAAUCUGACCCGCGUAACUGUAUAUACACGUACAUGUGUGAAUUAUAAGCCUCUACCCCUGUCCUCUGGGUCAAAAAGACCCAGCUCUGGGUCAGAGUGACCCAGGUCUGGGUCAGAGUGACCCCGGCGCGUAUCCGCGCCCUGGGUCAGAAAGACCCGAGUUGCAUCCCACGUGCCUACGUUCUUUGGGUCAGAGUGUGUGUGUGUGUGUGUGUGUGUGUGUGUGUGUGUGUGUGUGGUUGUGUGUGUGUGUGUGUGCGCGCAAGGCUCCAGUUUGACCCCAGGACGCAGGGUGUAUGCUUUCUGAGUAAAGGCAACACGAGGGUUAAGGUAAAAUAAAUGUACGACAAUGUCAUAAAUGACACUUUUACUAACUGUCAAUUUUCAUUAUUUUCUCCUUUUCAUAUUGUGUCAGCAGGAACAAGGACUUUGCAGCAGGACAACACAAUUAUCUUUCUGUUGGUUGUUGUUGCUUUGGCUGCAAGUCUGAUUGUUAUUGCCAUUCUUAUUUAUUCAAUCAAGGAACUCAAGAAAAAAUCUUGUGGUGUUUGUGACGCCGCUGCUGUCCUGAAAACAAGUGGUGUUUCGACGGCCGGUGGUCAUCAGCAGAAUCAGCAGACAGAUGAGGAUUUAUUGGUUUAUUCUGCACCAAUCUUCUCCGUUAGAACAAAAGGCUCAAAUAAUUCAAAAACUGAGGAGGAAGAGAGUAUCUACACUGACGUCAGGAAUCUGGGGUUUGAUGAACAGUCCUAACACUGGGUUUUAUGUCUGCACCUUGUGGGAAGUUAAUUUCACCUCUUGACUUGGUAAAUAAUAAUUUUAUUUGGAUAAUUUGCAUGUAUUGUAUUUAUUUUAGGAUUGUAUUUAUCUGUUUUGUAAAAUAAAUGAAAAUAGUAUCAUAGCUAAGCUUUUAGAAAUACAUGUAUAUGUGCUCUAAUGAUCCCAUAUUUAUGAGUGUGUGUUUCAUUGUGAGCUGUUAUUAAAGUUGUUAUUUUUCUAUCA